rnacentral:lncRNA from 1 species
CGCAGCCCCGGCCCGGCCCCUGGCCCGCGCGCCACCGUGCCUCCGCGACCCCACUCACCGCCACCCCGGGCGCCAUCGCGCUCCUCACCAGCGGCCGGAUCCAGGGAGUCGGACAUAUUGUCCACCCCACCGGCCUUCCAUUUUCUACCAUUCCCUGCCUCGCUGGGGCCGAUGGGAAAUCCCUCUUUCACAGAGCUCCGCAAGCCACGACCGCAUCGGGGCCGACGAUUUCGGCAAGAUCCGUCGUGCCUCCCACAGGAUCCAAGCGGGGUUGAGCUUCACCAGGUAUCCACCGGCGACCAGUACUCUGUGUCUCCCCUGUUCUACCUCCCCUUCUCCUCCCGUAAGGGUUCGUUCCCACAAACAGAGAGUUCGCUUGG